CAAUAGCGUAUAUUAAAGUUGUUGCAGUUAAAAAGCUCGUAGUUGAAUUUCUGGUGGGCGCGCCGGUCUUCCAAGUGUUGUACUGGGCGCAGUCCGCCAUCCUUGUGGAGAGGGCUCGCAUUGAGUUGCGUGUCGGAUCUGCAUCAUUUACUGUGAAAAAAUUAGAGUGUUUAAAGCAGGCUGUCGCUUGAAUACAUUAGCAUGGAAUAAUAAGAUAGGACUUCGGUCUAUUUUGUUGGUUGCGAACCGAAGUAAUGAUUAAUAGGGAUAGUUGGGGGUAUUCAUAUUUAAUUGUCAGAGGUGAAAUUCUUGGAUUUAUGAAAGAUGAACAACUGCGAAANCANNNACCAAGGAUGUUUUCAUNAA
rnacentral:rRNA from 1 species